rnacentral:rRNA from 1 species
CAGUCGCCGCGGUAACACGUAGGGUGCGAGCGUCAAUCGGAAUUACUGGGCGUAAAGCGUGCGCAGGCGGUUGUGUAAGACAGGUGUGAAAUCCCCGGGCUUAACCUGGGAACUGCGCUUGUGACUGCACAGCUAGAGUAUGGCAGAGGGGGGUGGAAUUCCACGUGUAGCAGUGAAAUGCGUAGAGAUGUGGAGGAACACCGAUGGCGAAGGCAGCCCCCUGGGCCAAUACUGUCGCUCAUGCACGAAAGCGUGGGGAGCAAACAGGAUUAGAUACCCCUGUAGUCCCUGUCUCUUAUAA